rnacentral:rRNA from 1 species
CCUACGGGCGGCAGCAGUGAAUUGACGGUACCUGCAACGGAAGCACCGGCUAACUCCGUGCCAGCAGCCGCGGUAAUACGGAGGGUGCGAGCGUUAAUCGGAAUUACUGGGCGUAAAGCGCUCGUAGGCGGUAUGUCAAGUCAAGGGUGAAAUCCCCGCGCUCAACGUGGGAACUGCCUUUGAAACUGGCAAACUGGAGUGUGUGAGAGGAUAGUGGAAUUCCAGGUGUAGGAGUGAAAUCCGUAGAUAUCUGGAGGAACAUCAGUGGCGAAGGCGACUAUCUGGCACAUAACUGACGCUGAGGAGCGAAAGCGUGGGUAGCAAACAGGAUUAGAUACCCUUGUAGUC